ensembl:lncRNA
CUGGAUUAGCUGCUGGAUUAGCUCUUCGAUUAACAAUUUGCUGGAGGCUAUUCAAAUUAGCCACACCGUGGGAUGUAAGGAGCUCUCUGAUUGGUUGGUCGGACACAGGCUGUCUGCCAGCCUGGAUUUUUCUAGCUCAUAGCUUCUCCCUGCUAGGAAGCGUGUGUGCUUGUACAAAGGCCGUUCAGCGUCGGGAUUUACACUCGGCUCGACACGGAUAAGUGAAGAAUGAAGGGACCCUGCAGCGAAACGGAGAGCCAACCUCUGACUGAAUGCCUGUCUACACAUUCUGACCACCUGUUGAAGGGCUGUUUGAUGACGAUUUGGACUCCUCUGGGAGAUGAGGACACACCCACAUCUGUUCCAUACUGCAGCCAUUGAUGGUGUUACAGCUCUGAGUCAGCUUUGGGCCAUCAGACGCACACACUGGAAAACCAGCACCUGGACUUCAUGCAGGAGAGACGGCCUCAGUGAUAUAGGUCCAGAUUAAAACACAGAGGAGACCGGGCAUUUGCUGUGGCUUCCUCCGAACUUUGGAAUACAUUGCCUUUGCAUAUCAGAUCCUCCCCAACACUGGAUACUUUUAAGUCAUCUAAAGACCCAUUUUUAUUCUCUGGCUUUUGAUUCAUCAUGAGUUUGUUACUAUUAUUCCUUUUUAUGAUUUUAUUCUCUUCUAAAACACUAUUGUUUUUUUUUUGUUGUUGUUUAUUGCCUUGCCCAUUGUAUUGUACAGUACUUUGGUCAACACUUGUUGUUUUAAGUGCUAUAUAAAUAAAUUUGAACUUGAACUUCACAAAGUGUUCUCCAGGCGUCCUCAUAGAUAUCCAAAGCUUUUCUUUGGAUGGAUGCCUUUUGUUUCAUUCUC